GGUGAACGCUGGCGGCGUGCUUAAGACAUGCAAGUCGAACGGCAGUCUUCGGACUGUAGUGGCGCACGGGUGAGUAACGCGUAACUGACCUACCCCAAAGUCGCGGAUAACGAUUCGAAAGAAUCGCUAAUACGUGAUGUGCUGUCAGAUUGUGUUCUGCCAGUAAAGAUUGAUUGCUUUGGGAUGGGGUUGCGGUCCAUCAGCUAGUUGGUGGGGUAAAGGCCCACCAAGGCGACAACGGAUAGCCGGUCUGAGAGGGUGGCCGGCCACAGGGGCACUGAGACACGGGUCCCACUCCUACGGGAGGCAGCAGUUAGGAAUCUUCCACAAUGGGCGAAAGCCUGAUGGAGCGACGCCGCGUGAGGGAUGAAGGUCUUCGGAUCGUAAACCUCUGAAUCAGGGACGAAAGACACUUCGGUGGGAUGACGGUACCUGAGUAAUAGCACCGGCUAACUCCGUGCCAGCCGCCGCCGUAAUAC
rnacentral:rRNA from 1 species